UUGAAAUCUGGCGUCUUCGACGUCCGAGUUGUAAUUUGUAGAGGAUGCUUCUGAGUAACCACCGACCUAAGUUCCUUGGAACAGGACGUCAUAGAGGGUGAGAAUCCCGUAUGCGGUCGGAAAGGUGCUCUACACGUAGCUCCUUCGACGAGUCGAGUUGUUUGGGAAUGCAGCUCUAAAUGGGAGGUAAAUUUCUUCUAAAGCUAAAUAUUGGCCAGAGACCGAUAGCGCACAAGUAGAGUGAUCGAAAGAUGAAAAGCACUUUGGAAAGAGAGUUAAAAAGCACGUGAAAUUGUUAAAAGGGAAGGGAUUGCAACCAGACUUGCUCGCGGUGUUCCGCCGGUCUUCUGACCGGUCUACUCGCCGCGUUGCAGGCCAGCAUCGUCUGGUGCCGCUGGAUAAGACUUGAGGAAUGUAGCUCCCUCGGGAGUGUUAUAGCCUCUUGUGAUGCAGCGAGCGCCGGGCGAGGUCCGCGCUUCGGCUAGGAUGCUGGCGUAAUGGUCGUAAUCCGCCCGUCUUG
rnacentral:rRNA from 1 species